rnacentral:rRNA from 1 species
CAGUCGCCGCGGUAAUACGGAGGGAGCUAGCGUUGUUCGGAAUUACUGGGCGUAAAGCGCACGUAGGCGGUUAUUCAAGUCAGAGGUGAAAGCCCGGGUCUCAACCCCGGAACUGCCUUUGAAACUAGAUGACUGGAAUCUUGGAGAGGUCAGCGGAAUUCCGAGUGUAGAGGUGAAAUUCGUAGAUAUUCGGAAGAACACCAGUGGCGAAGGCGACUGACUGGACAAGUAUUGACGCUGAGGUGCGAAAGCGUGGGGAGCGAACAGGAUUAGAUACCCCGGUAGUCCCUGUCUCUUAUAC